CUUGUUUUUGAAUCUCUCUUUUUCUGUUUUUAAUUUUCCUGGAAGUUUUGUGGAUUUGGAACUUCUCUUCAGAAGCAUCCGAGAGGCACUGCACGGCUGUGUUAAGGCCUGAUUCAGAGCUUAUAGAGGAAAUCAUUAAAGAUAUUUUGAAGAGAUUGAAUAAUAUGUCGUCGAGUGAUAAUAAGGACUUGGUUGGAAUAGUAGUACUGAAGAUCCAAAAAAUUAGAUCUUUAUUGUCUAAUUGUCGAAUGAAGUAUGUAUUGUAGGAAUUUGGGGGUAUGGGUGGUGUAGGGAAGAUAACUAUUGCUAAUGCUAUUUUCAAUGAAAUCUCAAGUGAGUUUGAAGGUUCUUAUUUCAUUGAAAAUGCUAGAGAAGAAUCGAAGAACGGCGGGUUAAGUCACCUGCGAAAGGUUUUGAUAUAAAAACGUUCUUAUUGUUUUUGAUGAUGUGACACAUUGAAAACAAAUAAAAUUAAUCGUUUUUGAUGAUGUGACACAUUCAAAACAAGUAAAAUUAAUUAUUUUUGAUGAUGUGACACAUUCAAAACAAAUAAAAUUAAUUGUUUUUGAUGAUGUAACACAUUUAAAACAUAUAAAAUUAAUUGUGGGUCUUGAAUACUUGGGUUCAGGAAGUCGAAUUAUUACAAACUUAUAACAACAAGGGAUAAACAAUUGCUUAAAAAUUGUGGUCCGAAUGAUGCUACCAUAUAUGAAGUCAAAGGAUUAAGUAGUAAUGAAUCUCUUCUACUUUUUCAACAAUAUGCCUUCAAACAAAACCAUCUCAUCUUUGAAGAUUACAUUGAGCUAUCAAAUAGAGUAAUAAGUUAUACCAAAGGUGUGCCAUUAGCUCUUAUAGUCUUGGGUUCCUUUCUACUUGGUUCCACAUAAGGAUAUCCAAACAAUACUGAAGAUAAGUCAUGAUGGACUGGAUGAUGAAGAUAAAUAUUUAUUUCUAGAUAUUGCAUUCUCCUUUAAAGGAUGGGAUGAAAGUCUUGUGAGAUAAAUUUUAAACUCCAUUGCUCUGCACAUAUUGGAAUGAGUGUUCUCAUUGCUCUUAACUAUUUCAUACAACACCAUAAGAAUGCAUGAUUUGCUUCAAGAGAUGGGAAGAGAAAUUGUUCGACAAGAAUCGAUUAAUAAACCCGGCAACCAUAGUCGAUUGUGGCAUCAUAAUGAUGUUUAUCAUGUAUUGAGAAAAAAUAUGGGAAGUGAUACAAUAUGAGGCACAUGCUUUGAAAUGCCUGAAAUAAGAGAGAUAUAUUUAAAUCCUUUUGCUUUCUUGGGGAUGGAUAAUCUAAGAUUCUUGAUAGUAUGUAUAUAACUCAAAAUAUAGAGACAAUAACACUAAGAAGCAUGGUUUUGAAGGCCGUAAAUUUGAUUUUGCAGAGCUUAGAUGCCUUCAUUGAAAUGAUUACCCCUGCACAUAGUUGCCUUUGAAAUUUUAUCAUGAGAACCUUGUUGUACUGAAGAUGCGCAACAACAAUCUUGAGCAACUAUGGACUGGUAUUAAGAAUCUCGGCAAUUUAAAAUAUGUUGACCUAAGUUGCUCAAAACAUCUGUUUAAAAUCCCAAUCCUCACACACGCUCCAAAUAUAGAGAGCUCGAUUCUAGAAGACUGGAUAAGUUUGGUUGAGAUCGCUCUUCCAUCUAUUCAACAUCCCAAUAAACUUUUUAAUUUGAAUCUCAUAAAUUGCAAAAGCCUCAUCAGUCUUUCAAUUGGUAUUCAAUUAAAAUAUGGAUAUUAUUCUCUCUACCUGCUGGAAUCUCAAGACAGCUGGAAGUAUCUCAUAUGAUAUGGAACAACUGUAUUUCGAUGGAACUGCAAUAAAAGAAUUAUUUUCUUCCAUUGAAUGUCCUUUCAAACAAGUUGAAUGGAAUCUUAUGGGCUGUUCAAGGCCUGAAAGUCUUCCAAGAAGCAUUUAUAAAUUGAAAUCUCUUUGAUAUCUUAAUCUCUGUGGUUGCUGAAAUCUAAAAUUGGUUGCGGAGAUCUCAUGCAAUGUAGAAUGGGGGUGUUAGCUAUCACAUAUGUCUGCAAGUUUGCAAUUUUUAGGUUGGUUAAAUUUGAAUCACUGCAGUCUUACAAAGUUACCUAGUAAUCUUGGCCAGUUGUCCUUACUCAGAAUUUUAGAAUUAACUGGAAACAAUUUUGAGACCAUACCAACAAGCAUUGUCAAGCUUUUUAGGUUGUGGUUCCUUGGCAUGCUUCCAUCCUUACGAAAGCUGCAGUUUAGUACAGAAAAGCUAAAUGCAGAGUGUUGUGAAUUGCUGAAAGCAUUAUCAGGUUUGACAAUUAGAAGCCAUGGAUUUUACAACAGGACAUUUAACUUCACCACUUGCUCCAAUUCUGACUGGUAUGCACUCAGAAAGAUUUGGAUUGAUUCUGUACUGAAAAUGUACUCAGAUACAACUGUAUGGUGGAAAGUUACGAAGACAUCAUCUGACUUUAUGGACGGUCAUCAAGGUUGUAUGUGUUUCUCUGGAAGUGAAAUUCCAGAGUGGUUUGACAUUCAAAGUUUUGGAUCUUCUAUGGAGCUACCACAAGAACAUGUGAUUUUUGUGAAUUCUCUUCCAGUACAGAGGUCAUUAUCAAUUUCAGCCCAAAAGUGUGGGAUUCUUUUUUUGUUCGCUCUAGAGUUUUGAGGUACCUAUGAAAAGAUCCAGAUGUUCCAUCUUUGAUGAAGAGGGAGAGCAAGAGGAUGCACACUCCAAGAGAUUGAAAUCAGAUAUGUGGACUGGAGUGGACAAGCAUCCCCAAAGAGAUUAUUCGUUGGACAUGGCUUGAAUAGCAGCAGGAAUGAAAAUAAGCUAUGCUUGUGGAAUGAAAAUAAGCUAGCAAACAAGUAAUUAAUGUUUAUUUUUGUUGUGUACUCUGUAAUUUCGGCUAAUUACAUUAUCUGUUUAGUCAAACAAGAAGUUAAAAUUUGGAAGCCGGUCCAACUUCCAAGAAAUGGCUGCGGAAAAACCAAGAUAUAAAAUCCAAAUUAAAUGAUAAAUUAGCUUCAAAUUCCCCUUCAUGCUUCGAAGUCUGUGAGAGGACAAAGAGUCCGAUUGCUUCAAGCCAACUGCGAUGGCUUCUUCUUCUUCUUCUUCUCAGGUGAAGUAUGAUGUUUUCUUGAGUUUCCGAGGUGAGGACACUAGAGAUAAUUUUAUUAGCCACCUCAAUGCAGCUUUGUGUCGGAGAAAGAUUAUUACUUUCAUCGAUGAUGAAAUUAGAAGAGAUGAGAUUUCAGCCUCUCUUUUGAAUGUAAUUUGAAGGAUCAAAGAUUUCAAACAUCAUCUUCUCUAAGGGUUAUGCUUCUCCUACAUGGUGCCUGGAAGAACUCGUGGAGAUUCUCAAUUGCAAUAGAAUGUACGGUCAGAUUGUGAUCCCUGUUUUCUAUCAUGUAGAUCCAUCUGAUGUAAGGAAGCAAGUCGGAACUUUUAGAAAUUCAGUUGCUGUGCAUCAAGUACGAUUUACGGAGAGGAAAGAGAAGUUGUAGAGAUGGAGGAAUGCUUUGACGGAAGCUGCCAAUCUAUUUGGCUUUCAUUCAAAUUCCAUCAUAUGAAUGCUUUCAU